AUUUAUCUUCUCCAACUAGAUUGCACUUCUUGAUGUUAAGGAUCAUGUUUUCUCUCUUGUUUUGAUUUUUUUUUUUUUUUCCUUUAAAGAGGAUGAACUGAGUAGCUUUUUCAGAAGCAUCACCUUUGGGUAGAAUUCCCAGGCUUCUGGAUCCUGGUGGAGCGCCCUUGGCAGUGGAUCCUGAUGUUCCCUUUUCACUUUCCCGGGACGCAGAGUGAUGGUUAUGAGUACACAGGGUAAAGAACAUCUGGC
rnacentral:lncRNA from 1 species